rnacentral:rRNA from 1 species
GACGAACGCUGGCGGCGGGCUUAACACAUGCAAGUCGAACGGAAAGGCCCUGCUUUUGUGGGGUGCUCGAGUGGCGAACGGGUGAGUAACACGUGAGUAACCUGCCCUUGACUUUGGGAUAACUUCAGGAAACUGGGGCUAAUACCGGAUAGGAGCUCCUGCUGCAUGGUGGGGGUUGGAAAGUUUCGGCGGUUGGGGAUGGACUCGCGGCUUAUCAGCUUGUUGGUUGGGGAGUGGCUUACCAAGGCUUUGACGGGUAGCCGGCCUGAGAGGGUGACCGGCCACAUUGCGACUGAGAGACGGCGCAGACGCCUACGGGAGGCAGCAGGGGGGAAUAUUGCACAAUGGGCGGAAGCCUGAUGCAGAAACGCUGCGUGCGGGAUGACGGCCUGCGGGUUGUAAACCGCUUUCGCCUGUGACGAAGCGUGAGUGACGGUAAUGGGUAAAGAAGCACCGGCUAACUACGUG